UUCGUCAUCGUUUGUAUCAAAAAGUUUGAAUUUUUUUAUUGUGGAUAAGGUCGAAUUGUGGAUUUGGAUGCGUAGAUCUUGAUAUCAGUUGUGAUUAGUUCUUCAGUUUGGAUUUUCUGUUUUGAUUAAUUUUUCUGUGCUUUAAGGUGUAUGAUCGUUGUUUUAAUAGUAUAAGAUUGUUGUCCAAAUGAAUGCAAGAAUUAGUGUUAAUUUUUGUUGGAUUAUUAUUGUGGGUGUUUGAUCAGAUCUUGGAUGUAGCAUGUGAUUUGGAUUUUGAGGUGAUGUUAUAGUGAUGAUGUGGAUUUUGAUUCUUUCAACAGUUUCAGUUAGCAUAACUAUGCUCUACUCACUACUGAUUUUCUUGAUAGGUUGGACCAUGGUCUGUACUUUAAAUUUAUGUUUUUCUUAUUUAUAGAUGGUCUUCUUUAAUUUCUUCAUGCAUCCCCCUUCCCCAUCCAAACCAAGUGUGCAAUUUAUGCGGGUGACAUUUUCCCAAAAUUUGUAGGAAGAAGCAGGAAGCCUCAAAUUUGUAUGCAUGUCCAAUGAUGGUGUUGAUAAACACAUGAUCUGGCUGAUAGGAUUGAAAAACAUCUUUGCCAGGCAACUUCCUAAUAUGCCGAGAGAAUACAUUGUACGUCUCCUAAUGGACAGGCGUGCCCCUGGUUUUGAACCUUUUCUGUAAAGCUUAUGUGCAAUUAUUCAAUUAGCUUCUUUUUA